AACGAACGCUGGCGGCAUGCCUAACACAUGCCAGUCGAACGAGACCUUCGGGUCUAGUGGCGCACGGGUGCGUAACGCGUGGGAACCUGCCCUUAGGUUCGGAAUAACUCCCCGAAAGGGGUGCUAAUACCGGAUAAUGUCUUCGGACCAAAGAUUUAUCGCCUUUGGAUGGGCCCGCGUUGGAUUAGCUAGUUGGUAGGGUAAAAGCCUACCAAGGCGACGAUCCAUAGCUGGUCGGAGAGGAUGAUCAGCCACACUGGGACUGAGACACGGACCAGACUCCUACGGGAGGCAGCAGUAGGGAAUAUUGGACAAUGGGCGAAAGCCUGAUCCAGCAAUGCCGCGUGAGUGAUGAAGGCCUUAGGGUUGUAAAGCUCUUUUACCCGGGAUGAUAAUGACAGUACCGGGAGAAUAAGCGCCGGCUAACUCCGUG
rnacentral:rRNA from 1 species